rnacentral:rRNA from 1 species
AAUGAACGCUGGCGGCAGGCCUAACACAUGCAAGUCGAACGGGUCCUUCGGGACUAGUGGCGGACGGGUGAGUAACGCGUGGGAACAUACCCAAAGGUACGGAAUAGCCUCGGGAAACUGGGAGUAAUACCGUAUGUGGUCGAGAGACGAAAGAUUUAUCGCCUUUGGAUUGGCCCGCGUUGGAUUAGGUAGUUGGUGGGGUAAUGGCCUACCAAGCCGACGAUCCAUAGCUGGUUUGAGAGGAUGAUCAGCCACACUGGGACUGAGACACGGCCCAGGCUCCUACGGGAGGCAGCAGUGGGGAAUCUUAGACAAUGGGGGAAACCCUGAUCUAGCCAUGCCGCGUGAUCGAUGAAGGCCUUAGGGUUGUAAAGAUCUUUCAGAUGGGAAGAUAAUGACGGUACCAUCAGAAGAAGCCCCGGCUAACUCCGUGCCAGCCGCCGCAGUAAAAC